UUGUAGACCGUUUCUCCAAAUGUGCCCAUUUUGUAGCUCUGCCCAAGCUUCCCUCAGCCCUGGAGACCGGUCAACUUCUCACCCAGCAUGUUUUCCGCCUGCAUGGAAUCCCGGCUGACAUCGUCUCCGACCGUGGACCUCAGUUCAUCUCUCUGGUUUGGAAGAAUUUCUGUCAUUCACUUGGUGCAUCGGUCAGUCUAACUUCUGGUUAUCAUCCCCAGUCAAACGGUCAAACUGAAAGGGCCAAUCAAGACCUGGAAUCUACUCUCCGCUGUGUUGCCAAUCGCAAUCAAUCUACCUGGAGCUCCCUUCUACCCUGGGUGGAGUAUUCCUUUAAUUCACUCACGUCUUCUGCAACUGCUCUCUCUCCUUUUGAAGCCUCCUUAGGGUACCAACCUCCCCUGUUUCCUGAGGAGGAGAGUGAGUUGGCAGUUCCUUCUGUCCAGCAUCACAUUCAACGGUGCCGUAAGAUUUGGAGGGACACUCGCUCAGAACUCCUCCGGACUUCUACCAGGAAUCAACGGUCAGCUAACCGUCACAGACAUGCCGCUCCCCAUUACACCCCUGGACAAUCAGUUUGGUUGUCUUCCAAAAAUAUCUCACUCCUCACCGAGUCAAAGAAACUGUCCCCUCGGUUCCUUGGGCCUUUCCUCAUUGAGCGCAUUAUUAACCCCUCUGCUGUCCGCUUGAGACUCCCCAGAUCCAUGAAGGUUCAUCCAACCUUUCAUGUUUCCCAGAUCAAGCCAGUCCACACUAGUGACCUGUGCCCUCCAACCAUUCCCCCUCCUCCCCCCCGAGUCAUCGAUGAUCAUCCUGCCUACACUGUGCAUCGGCUUAUGGAUGUCAGACGCCGGGGCAGGGGCUUUCAGUACCUGGUUGAUUGGGAGGGUUACAACCUGGAGGAACGUUGCUGGGUGCCUCGGUCACGCAUCAUGGACCCUGUCAUGGUGAGGGAGUUCCACAGAGCACACCCUGACAAGCCUGGUGGUCGCCAGGAGGCUCCCGUGGAGAGGGGGGUACUGUGAGGAUUUACAGUAUCUCCCUCCUUCUUCUCUUCUUUGUUUUAUGUUUGUUAUGUUCGUUCUGUCUGUCUGUGUGUCUGUCUCCCUGGCUGGGUGUGGCUGACCCACUUCUGAUUCCCGCCAACUCACCUCCGCAGCUGCUGCUCAUCAUCCUGAUUACACUACUCACCUUCACCUGCUUAUAUGCCCGGUCCUCUCAUCCAGUAUUCACCAGUUCGUCGUUUCACCUCGCUGAAUCCAUCUGCCUACUCCUCUGCCUGCCACAUCCAGCCACGUACCUCUCGUCUGAGUAUCUCCGUGCUUCCACGCACACCGGCUCCAACCUGUCAACUAUCGCCAGCUCUGGAUCAGCGGCUUUCCUCGCCAGUGUACCUUCGUGCUUCCACGCACACCAGCUCCUUCCUGUCGACUCUCACCAGCUCUGGUCCCCCGGCUCUCCUCGCCAGAGUAUCUCCGUGCAUAUCCGCACCACCUCAGUUAACAAACCCUGGCUUUGGGUUUAUUGGAUAUUUAAUCCCUCGUCUGACUCUAUAUAAGGUUUUUGGUUAAUAAACCUUUUUCUACCUCAAAA